UACGGGGGGAGCAAGCGUUGUUCGGAUUUACUGGGCGUAAAGGGCGCGUAGGCGGCGCAACAAGUCAGCUGUGAAAUCUCCGGGCUUAACCCGGAGCGGCCAGCUGAUACUGUCGUGCUAGAGUGCGGAAGGGGCAACUGGAAUUCUCGGUGUAGCGGUGAAAUGCGUAGAUAUCGAGAGGAACACCUGCGGCGAAGGCGGGUUGCUGGGCUGACACUGACGCUGAGGCGCGAAAGCUAGGGGAGCGAACGGG
rnacentral:rRNA from 1 species